rnacentral:rRNA from 1 species
UACAGAGGUGCCAAGCGUUAGGCGGAAUCACUGGGCUUAAAGCGUGUGUAGGCGGGUCGUUAAGUGCCUUGUGAAAUCCCACGGCUCAACCGUGGAACUGCUGGGCAUACUGCCGAUCUUGAGCCAGCUAGGGGCAACCGGAACAAACGGUGGAGCGGUGAAAUGCGUAGAUAUCGUUUGGAACGCCAAUGGUGAAAACAGGUUGCUGGGGCUGUGCUGACGCUGAGACACGAAAGCCAGGGGAGCGAACGGG